rnacentral:tRNA from 1 species
AGGAGUGUGGCGGAAUAUAGCGUGCAAAUAAGGAGAAGUUGGUGUCAAGUCGCAAGCUAUGCGGAAGCUUCGCAGGUUCGAAUCCUGCCACUCCUA